rnacentral:rRNA from 1 species
UACGGGGGGAGCAAGCGUUGUUCGGAUUUACUGGGCGUAAAGGGCGCGUAGGCGGCCACUGCAAGUCAGUUGUGAAAUCUCCGGGCUUAACCCGGAAAGGUCAACUGAUACUGCAGGGCUAGAGUGCAGAAGGGGCAACUGGAAUUCUCGGUGUAGCGGUGAAAUGCGUAGAUAUCGGGAGGAACACCUGUGGCGAAAGCGGCGCACUGGACCACAUCUGACGCUGAGGCGCGAAAGCUAGGGGAGCAAACAGG